rnacentral:tRNA from 1 species
GCCACUUUAGCACAGUGGUAGUGCAUCGGUCUUGUAAACCGGAGGUCACGGGUUCGAUCCCCGUAGGUGGCUU